GAGAUUGAGUGGUGAGGAAGAGAGAUAAUAGCAAGUGGGGCCCAUUACUUAAAAUACCCAAAAUCCAAAAUUUUGAAAAUUUUACCCGUUAUAAACAACACGGUCGUGUUCCUGCACACGGGCACCCGUGUGAAUUUUCUGUUUUAAUUAACACGGCCGUGUGACAGUACACGGGUGUCCGUGUAAACUUACUGUUUUAAUUAACACGACCGUGUCCCUGCACACGGGCAACCGUGUUAAU
rnacentral:lncRNA from 1 species